rnacentral:rRNA from 1 species
GGUUAAGUGACUAAGCGUACACGGUGGAUGCCUUGGCAGUCAGAGGCGAUGAAGGACGUAUUAACUUGCGAUAAGCCCAGAUUAGGCAGUAAAAGCCACUUGAGUCUGGGAUUUCCGAAUGGGGAAACCCACUUACAUAAGUAAGUAUCCUUAACUGAAUACAUAGGUUAAGGAGGCGAACCGGGGGAACUGAAACAUCUAAGUACCCCGAGGAAAAGAAAUCAACCGAGAUUCCGAAAGUAGCGGCGAGCGAAAUUGGACUAGCCCUUAAGCUUUUAAUGAUACAGGUGAAGGCUCUGGAAAGUGCCGCGAUACAGGGUGAUAGCCCCGUAACCGACAUGUCAUUUUAAGUGAAAUCGAGUAAGGCGGGACACGUGAUAUCCUGUCUGAAUAUGGGGGGACCAUCCUCCAAGGCUAAAUACUACUGACUGACCGAUAGUGAACCAGUACCGUGAGGGAAAGGCGAAAAGAACCCCUGUGAGGGGAGUGAAAUAGAACCUGAAACCGUGUACGUACAAGCAGUAGGAGCACCUUCGUGGUGUGACUGCGUACCUUUUGUAUAAUGGGUCAGCGACUUAUAUUCAGUGGCAAGGUUAACCAUUUAGGGGAGCCGUAGGGAAACCGAGUCUUAACUGGGCGCAUAGUCUCUGGAUAUAGACCCGAAACCAGGUGAUCUAGCCAUGGGCAGGUUGAAGGUUGAGUAACAUCAACUGGAGGACCGAACCGACUAAUGUUGAAAAAUUAGCGGAUGACUUGUGGCUAGGGGUGAAAGGCCAAUCAAACCUGGAGAUAGCUGGUUCUCCCCGAAAGCUAUUUAGGUAGCGCCUCGGACGAAUACUACUGGGGGUAGAGCACUGUUAAGGCUAGGGGGUCAUCCCGACUUACCAACCCUUUGCAAACUCCGAAUACCAGUAAGUACUAUCCGGGAGACACACGGCGGGUGCUAACGUCCGUCGUGGAGAGGGAAACAACCCAGACCGCCAGCUAAGGUCCCAAAUUAUAGCUAAGUGGGAAACGAUGUGGGAAGGCUAAAACAGCUAGGAUGUUGGCUUAGAAGCAGCCAUCAUUUAAAGAAAGCGUAAUAGCUCACUAGUCGAGUCGGCCUGCGCGGAAGAUGUAACGGGGCUAAGCUAUAAACCGAAGCUGCGGCUGCAUACUUUGUAUGCGGGGUAGGGGAGCGUUCUGUAAGCCGUUGAAGGUGUAUCGUAAGGUAUGCUGGAGGUAUCAGAAGUGCGAAUGCUGACAUGAGUAACGAUAAUGGGGGUGAAAAACCUCCACGCCGGAAGACCAAGGGUUCCUGUCCAACGUUAAUCGGGGCAGGGUAAGUCGACCCCUAAGGCGAGGCUGAAAAGCGUAGUCGAUGGGAAACGGGUUAAUAUUCCCGUACUUCUUACAAUUGCGAUGGGGGGACGGAGAAGGCUAGGUGGGCCUGGCGACGGUUGUCCAGGUUCAAGUGCGUAGGCUUGAGAGUUAGGUAAAUCCGGCUCUCUUUAAGGCUGAGACACGACGUCGAGCUGCUACGGCAGUGAAGUCAUUGAUGCCAUGCUUCCAGGAAAAGCCUCUAAGCUUCAGAUUGUAAGGAAUCGUACCCCAAACCGACACAGGUGGUCGGGUAGAGAAUACCAAGGCGCUUGAGAGAACUCGGGUGAAGGAACUAGGCAAAAUGGUACCGUAACUUCGGGAGAAGGUACGCUCUUAACGGUGAAGUCCCUUGCGGAUGGAGCUAUUGAGAGUCGCAGAUACCAGGUGGCUGCAACUGUUUAUUAAAAACACAGCACUGUGCAAAAUCGUAAGAUGACGUAUACGGUGUGACGCCUGCCCGGUGCCGGAAGGUUAAUUGAUGGGGUUAGACUUAGGUCGAAGCUCUUGAUCGAAGCCCCGGUAAACGGCGGCCGUAACUAUAACGGUCCUAAGGUAGCGAAAUUCCUUGUCGGGUAAGUUCCGACCUGCACGAAUGGCGUAAUGAUGGCCACGCUGUCUCCACCCGAGACUCAGUGAAAUUGAAAUCGCUGUGAAGAUGCAGUGUACCCGCGGCUAGACGGAAAGACCCCGUGAACCUUUACUACAGCUUGGCACUGAACAUUGAGCCUACAUGUGUAGGAUAGGUGGGAGGCUUUGAACCCGUGUCGCCAGAUACGGUGGAGCCAUCCUUGAAAUACCACCCUUGUAUGUUUGAUGUUCUAACUUAGCCCCAUUAUCUGGGGUGAGGACAGUGCCUGGUGGGUAGUUUGACUGGGGCGGUCUCCUCCCAAAGAGUAACGGAGGAGCACGAAGGUGGGCUAAUCACGGUUGGACAUCGUGAGGUUAGUGCAAUGGCAUAAGCCCGCUUGACUGCGAGAAUGACAAUUCGAGCAGGUGCGAAAGCAGGUCAUAGUGAUCCGGUGGUUCUGAAUGGAAGGGCCAUCGCUCAACGGAUAAAAGGUACUCCGGGGAUAACAGGCUGAUACCGCCCAAGAGUUCAUAUCGACGGCGGUGUUUGGCACCUCGAUGUCGGCUCAUCACAUCCUGGGGCUGAAGUCGGUCCCAAGGGUAUGGCUGUUCGCCAUUUAAAGUGGUACGCGAGCUGGGUUUAGAACGUCGUGAGACAGUUCGGUCCCUAUCUGCCGUGGGCGUUGGAGAAUUGAAAGGGGCUGCUCCUAGUACGAGAGGACCGGAGUGGACGAACCUCUGGUGUUCGGGUUGUCAUGCCAAUGGCAUUGCCCGGUAGCUAAGUUCGGAAUCGAUAACCGCUGAAAGCAUCUAAGCGGGAAGCGAGCCUUGAGAUGAGUUCUCCCUGGCAGUUUAACUGUCCUAAAGGGUUGUCGUAGACUACGACGUUGAUAGGCAGGGUGUGUAAGCGUUGUGAGGCGUUGAGCUAACCUGUACUAAUUGCCCGUGAGGCUUAACCAU